rnacentral:rRNA from 1 species
GACGAACGCUGGCGGCGUGCUUAACACAUGCAAGUCGAACGGAAAGGCCCUGCUUUUGUGGGGUGCUCGAGUGGCGAACGGGUGAGUAACACGUGAGUAACCUGCCCUUGACUUUGGGAUAACUUCAGGAAACUGGGGCUAAUACCGGAUAGGAGCUCCUGCUGCAUGGUGUGGGUUGGAAAGUUUCGGCGGUUGGGGAUGGACUCGCGGCUUAUCAGCUUGUUGGUGGGGUAGUGGCUUACCAAGGCUUUGACGGGUAGCCGGCCUGAGAGGGUGACCGGCCACAUGGGGACUGAGAUACGGCCCAGACUCCUACGGGAGGCAGCAGUGGGGAAUAUUGCACAAUGGGCGGAAGCCUGAUGCAGCAACGCCGCGUGCGGGAUGACGGCCUUCGGGUUGUAAACCGCUUUCGCCGGUGACGAAGCGUGAGUGACGGUAAUGGGUAAAGAAGCACCGGCUAACUACGUG